UACGGAGGGGGCUAGCGUUGUUCGGAAUUACUGGGCGUAAAGCGCGCGUAGGCGGACCUGCAAGUCGGGGGUGAAAGCCCGAGGCUCAACCUCGGAACUGCCUUCGAUACUGCGGGUCUCGAGUCCGGGAGAGGUGAGUGGAAUUCCUAGUGUAGAGGUGAAAUUCGUAGAUAUUAGGAAGAACACCAGUGGCGAAGGCGGCUCAGCUGGCCCGGUGCUGACGCUGAGGCGCGAAAGCGUGGGGAGCAAACAGG
rnacentral:rRNA from 1 species